rnacentral:rRNA from 1 species
AUGCAGACUCGUCAGAAAUUCGCUCGUGUGGACACCCAGGAGCUGAAAUCCCGGAUCACCAAGAAGCUGGGCCAUCAGCGAGCCGAGCACUACUUCAACAGCCUCAAGAAAUUCCUGAGCUUUAAGCUCAACAAGGAUGAGUUUGACAAGAUUUGCUUGAGUGUAUUGGGCAAGGAAAAUAUCAAGCUUCAUAAUUUCCUCAUUCGGUCAAUCCUCAGCAAUGCUUCCUUGUCCCUUGGACCGCCUAGUAAGCAGACGGUGACAGGUAACUCACAGACUAGCAUGGUGUCCAAUGGGCCACUGGGCAAUGGCGCUCUGCCGGCGAAGAUGGGGCGGUCUAUCACCAGCAGGGAUAGGAAGUUCGCUGAUAGGCCAAGCCCCCUUGGUCCCCAUGGGAAGGCGCCUCAUGGUCAUGGAGGCGAGGUCAGCAACUCCUGCGACAUACCGAGAUCUAGGGAGCAACAGAGUACCCUGGAGUUUGUUUCAUCAGGGAGCAAGGUUUUGCUGGAAGUUGUCUCUGUAGAAGACGGGGAGGAGGUUGAGCAAGUGCGCAGUAGCCCAGCGUGUGUUCAAAGUCGGAGUCCCAUCAGAGCUCCGUUGGGGAUUCCGUUGGGGACUCCAAAGGCUCACACUCCUCAGCCUUCUACCUCUUACACUUAUGAAACAUGUUCUAAUAAAGAGGAGUUGCCAGAUACUCGGUCAUUGUGGAAUGUACUUCAGCACAGAUUGCAAGCACAAGGCCUGAAUGUAUCCAUGGAGUUUGCUCAUGUACUGAAUUCUGGGUUGAACUCACAUUUAACUCGCUUGCUCAAGUCUUCUUUGGAUGUCGCUAAAGCAAGGGGAAUUGGAACAAGGAUACCUCAAGCAAAUGGAAGAGCAGGUCCAUCAUGGAAUGGUGGACAGAACCAUGGCUUUCCUUCAGAAUCAGGCCAGUUCUACCAAGUUUCGUUACAAGAUGUUAAGGUAGCAGUGGAGUCCAACCGGCAGUUAUUGAGUUGUGAUCAUUCCAAGCAGCAUGAGAAGCUUAGCUUUCGUCUGAUGGACCAGUGA